rnacentral:rRNA from 1 species
GACGAACGCUGGCGGCGUGCCUAAUACAUGCAAGUCGAACGCUUCUUUCCUCCCGAGUGCUUGCCCUCAAUUGGAAAGAGGAGUGGCGGACGGGUGAGUAACACGUGGGUAACCUACCCAUCAGAGGGGGAUAACACUUGGAAACAGGUGCUAAUACCGCAUAACAGUUUAUGCCGCAUGGCAUAAGAGUGAAAGGCGCUUUCGGGUGUCGCCGAUGGAUGGACCCGCGGUGCAUUAGCUAGUUGGUGAGGUAACGGCUCACCAAGGCCACGAUGCAUAGCCGACCUGAGAGGGUGAUCGGCCACACUGGGACUGAGACACGGCCCAGACUCCUACGGGAGGCAGCAGUAGGGAAUCUUCGGCAAUGGACGAAAGUCUGACCGAGCAACGCCGCGUGAGUGAAGAAGGUGUUCGGAUCGUAAAACUCUGUUGUUAGAGAAAAACAAGGACGUUAGUAACUGAACGUCCCCUGACGGUAUCUAACCAGAAAGCCACGGCUAACUACGUG